rnacentral:lncRNA from 1 species
GGUGAACACAAAGGAAAAAUUAGAGGUGACUCAUUCUAUUGAGUUAAAAAGCAAUGGAUUUUUGACUAAAACCUUUGCAGCAGUCAGAAGUAGAAGAGCAACAAAGGGACCAAAGGCAUUAGAACUGGCUGAGAAAGGAGGACAUCAACAAAGUAAGUCAAUGAAUGCUUCACAAAUCGGUCUGUGUACUUAUACAAUGAGGAAAUUCUUAUUAGUUAAAGGAAUUCCUACAGUCUAUGUCAGUAACAGCAAGCUGAUUAAUUUAAAUCUGAUUGAAAACCUGAUUGAAGAUAUAGAAAGAUAUAGAAAGAUAUAGAAAAC